rnacentral:rRNA from 1 species
ACAAGAAGGUGGCGGUGGUGGGGGGAAGAGGUAGGGCGCGGUGGGUGUCCGGAGUUAUGGGGGGGAAAGAGCGCGUAGGGUGCUUGUCGGGUCGACUGUGAAAACCCGGGGCGCAACCAGGUGGUCUGCAGGCGAUACGGGCAGGCUAGAAUUCGGUAGGUGAGACUGGAAUUCCUGGUGUAGCGGUGAAAUGCGCAGAUAUCAGGAGGAACACCGGUGGCGAAGGCGGGUCUCUGGGCCGAUAUUGACGCUGAGGAGCGAAAGCGUGGGGAGCGAACAGGAUUAGAUACCCCGGUAGUC